rnacentral:tmRNA from 1 species
ACCCUUUCCUUUCCGGCCUCGCGCACCUAUAUUCGGGGGGUCUCGCCGCAAGGCAAGACUAUGGCGAUAAACGGUGAUCGUAAUAAACCAUUCGGACCCGGGGGCAGUACCCGGCGCCUCCACCACCGGCCGCGGGAGCCGCGGCCUGUGAGGGGGGCGAAACAGGAUCGACGAGGGUGUAAAGGGUCGCUUUUUGCUCGUGAUGGUUCCGACGUUAUCGGGCUAAACAUAUAGUUGCCAACGACAACUAUGCUCCGGUUGCAGUGGCUGCUUAACGCAGUCUGAGUGACCGAACUCAAGUCCUUGGGCUUAGCCGCCUAAGGCGGGGUCCGCCGGCACCUGGCAACAGAAGCCGGCACU